GAUUCGUCUUGUCGUCCUCCCCGGCAUUCGCAUAGGUCAGGCUCGUGGGGUUGGUGAGUGACAAGGCGGGGAGGAACACGGAUCUGUCUCCCGCAUCGACUUCAUCAGACGGGAUGAUUUUUCGUGAUGAUGGGGAUCCAUUCUUCUUCCAUGUUGACGCCUCCGGUCCUGCCACGAUUCGUCUUGUCGUCCUCCCCGGCAUUCGCAUAGGUCAGGCUCGUGGGGUUGGUGAGUGACAAGGCGGGGAGGAACACGGAUCUGUCUCCCGCAUCGACUUCAUCAGACGGCAGGUAGGAGGUACAACGGCCAGCGACCGGGACGACACCAACAGCCAAAGGAAGCUUGAGGUCUGCUCCUUCUCCACCAGUAGAGAGGAGCCUCCUUUUUGGGUUCCGCGUGUCUGCUCCGAGCCUACCAGCGCCGAUGCCAUGGAAGAUUUACUCAGGCACGCGAAGCGUAAUGAGGAGCAGCUGCUGGGCGUGAUGUUGAUCGAUCCUAGCCUGUCUUCCGGCUCUCAGUGAUUUGCUCCUCGAGGUGUAUGCCGUGCUGCACCUGAAUCCUGUUGACUACGAGCAGCGGAACGCCUUGUUUGAUGUAUUCAGCAACAUGGCAACUAAAAUCUUUGGUAAGAGAUGAUAUAGUUUGCCUUUGUUACUAAUAAUGUGAUCACUGAAUAGCAUGAUGAACUUGUCGCAGAGUAGAGAAAGAUAACAUCGUCAUGAAUAUUAUCUCUCUUCCAGUUAUACUCCCUCCGUAACUUAAUAUAAGAUGCUUUUUGACACUAUGCCAGUGUCAGAAAACAUAUUAUAUGAAGUUACGGAGGGAGUAGUAAUCAGCGGUUUUACUCUUUGUAUUUGAGAUUUCUCAAAAACUCUCGUUACUUAUGUUAUCUAUCUACUUACGGAGGGAGUAGUAAAACUAAUAAGAAGAAUACCAUUCUUAAUA